rnacentral:lncRNA from 1 species
AUUCUACGGUGCUUUGUUUGUCAUGCUUAAAGCGAACGAACGCGCGCGAGAGAGAGACCUGGAGAGAGAGAGAGAGAGAGAGAGCGAGACCGAGGAGUGUGAGCGAACUAGAGAGAGUGCGCGCCAAAAAACCAAGCCAAGUGUAUAUGAAAAUAGGUAUGGAAUUCCCUCCUUUUGGCAGACGAACAGAUUUUGGGGAAGUUUAAAACAUCUCAAUAAACUUCUUCGGCUUCUAUAUAAAUAUACUCUAUUUAAUAGAGUAUGAGGCACCCAAUUAGAAUAUAAAUUACUAUUAAAAAUAUAUGAAAUGUACAUUGUAGAUUACUCACAAGCACCUGAUCUUCUGCUGCUUUCCAAGAGCUCCAACUGAAUUGACUGACCUUCUUUACAAAAUGCCUUGCACAAGCAGUUGUUUUGAUAAAGUGGAAAGAAACAGCAACAACAAGUAUGAAGUGGAAAGAGGAUGGGUUGUGGAAGAGCUACUACGUCUGGAGAGGGGCGGUGGAGGAGCUAUUACGAUGAUGACGCUGAUGAGGAUGAUGAAGAAUAGUUUUGGAGAGAGAUGACGAAGAGAAGGUAACGGAGACCGCCUGCUUCUUGGGCCGCCGCUGCCAGCUCACACACACCACUACAUGCGCAGCGAGUCAAACAAACAAAUAAAAUGUGAAGCAGAAAUGGCAAAAAAUUAAACAAACAAGUAGACAGGAG